UUAAUGUCCAGGAGAGUGGCCCUCCGCAUGGAGGGUUGACUGGAGAUUUAUCGGUAUGGGAUGAGCUUGCGUCCGAUUAGCUGGUUGGCGGGGCAACGGCCCACCAAGGCGACUAUCGGUAGCCGGCCUGAGAGGGUGAUCGGCCACAUUGGGACUGAGAUACGGCCCAGACUCCUACGGGAGGCAGCAGUAGGGAAUAUUGCACAAUGGGGGAAACCCUGAUGCAGCAACGCCACGUGUGGGAAGAAGCAUUUCGGUGUGUAAACCGCUGUCAUGAGGGAAUAAGGCCCGCCUCCGGGCGGGAUCGAAUGUACCUUGAGAGGAAGCACCGGCAAACUUCGCGCCAGCAGCCGCGGUAAUACGAGGGGUGCAAGCGUUGUUCGGAAUUACUGGGCGUAAAAGGAGCGUAGGCGGAGAUUCAAGCGGAUUGUACAAUCCCGGGGCCCAACCCCGGCUCUGCAGUCCGAACUGGAUCUCUUGGAUAGUUCAGGGGCAGGCGGAAUUCCUGGUGUAGCGGUGGAAUGCGUANAGAUCAGGAAGAACACCGAUGGCGAAGGCAGCCUGCUGGGGACUUAUCGACGCUGAGGCUCGAAAGUGCGGGUAGCAAACAGGAUUAGAUACCCUGGUAGUCCGCACCGUAAACAA
rnacentral:rRNA from 1 species